GGGCCCAUGGCUCAAUUGGUAGAGCGCUUCCAUGGCAUGGAAGAGGUUGCCGGUUCAAGUCCGGCUGGGUCCA
rfam:Candidatus Woykebacteria bacterium RBG_19FT_COMBO_43_10 rbg_19ft_combo_scaffold_2586, whole genome shotgun sequence.